rnacentral:rRNA from 1 species
CCUACGGGUGGCAGCAGUGGGGGAUAUUGCACAAUGGGGGAAACCCUGAUGCAGCGACGCCGCGUGGGUGAAGAAGUAUUUCGGUAUGUAAAGCCCUAUCAGCAGGGAAGAAAGAAGACGGUACCUGACUAAGAAGCCCCGGCUAAAUACGUGCCAGCAGCCGCGGUAAUACGGAGGGGGCGAGCGUUAUCCGGAUUCACUGGGUGUAAAGGGAGCGUAGACGGCCGUGCAAGCCAGGAGUGAAAGCCCGGGGCCCAACCCCGGGACUGCGCUUGGAACUGUGCGGCUGGAGUGCGGGUGGGGCAGGCGGAAUUCCUGGUGUAGCGGUGAAAUGCGUAGAUAUCAGGAGGAACACCGGCGGCGAAGGCGGCCUGCUGGACCGCGACUGACGUUGAGGCUCGAAAGCGUGGGGAGCGAACAGGAUUAGAUACCCCUGUAGUC